CCUGGCCUUGACAUAGAAAGAACUUCCUAGAGAUAGUUUGGUGCUAGCUUGCUAGAACUUUCAUACAGGUGCUGCACGGCUGUCGUCAGCUCGUGUCGUGAGAUGUUGGGUUAAGUCCCGCAACGAGCGCAACCCUCGUGUUUAGUUACUAACAGUUCGGCUGAGGACUCUAGACAGACUGCCUGGGUAACCAGGAGGAAGGUGAGGACGACGUCAAGUCAUCAUGGCCCUUACGGCCAGGGCUACACACGUGCUACAAUGGGGUAUACAAAGAGCCGCAAUACCGCGAGGUGGAGCAAAUCUCAUAAAAUAUCUCCCAGUUCGGAUUGAAGUCUGCAACUCGACUACAUGAAGUUGGAAUCGCUAGUAAUCGUGAAUCAGCUAUGUCACGGUGAAUACGUUCCC
rnacentral:rRNA from 1 species